rnacentral:lncRNA from 10 species
AGCCACCGCGGCGACUUGGCGGCGGGUGCCAUGCGUCUGGAGCUUCACAUUCUCUGCCCCCCACCCACCGCGCCGGCGCUCCCUUGUCACGCCUCGGGAAGCGCGCACCUGCCAAGCAGGAUGAAUAAUCUGAUAUCAUGUGAAAUGAGGAAAUAAGAAGCUUUCUGCUGACUUCAUUUUGACCCAGGGUCCAAAAGGUGAUGUAAUCCUGUGGCAAGAAGAUUCAAAACUGUGGACUAUCUUGCAAAAAAUACAAGAAGAUAUUGAAAGUUUUCAUGAGUGCCUACCACCUAAUCUCAAACACUAUCAUUCAUAUGUGCCUCAUUGAGCAAAUCUUUAAUGAGGAUCUAUAUGCCAGAUAAUGUAGGCAUUGUUCCUAAGUCAUGCAGAGGGGUUGUGUAAGCAUGGUCAUUUGCAUCAUUAUCCUGCACGUCUGAUACAGCCAAACUCCACGCCACCUGGUUUGCUCAAUAUCUUUUGCUUGGGAGCAGAAACAGAAAGUACAUGAUGGACUUCAUUGAAGGAUGGAGAUUUGGAAGACAUGAAUGGAUGAAGAACCAAACGGAGUCUCGCUCUGUUGCCCAGGCUGUAGUUCAGUGGUGCAAUCUCAGCUCACUGCAAGCUCUGCCUCCCGGGUUCAUGCCAUUCUUCUGCCUCAGCCUCCCGAGUAGCUGGGACUACAAGCGCCUGCUACCACGCCUGGCUAAUUUUUUGUAUUUUUUAGUAGAGACGGAGUUUCACCAUGUUAGCCAGGAUGGUCUCGAUCUCCUGACCUUGUGAUCCACCCAUCUCGGCCUCCCAAAGUGCUAGGAUUACAGGCAUGAGCCACCACGCCCAGCCAACUUAUAACUUUUAUAUCAUUAGACACAUGGAAUAUGGGCCUCCGUUUGUACUCUUGCCCUUGGCCCCACAAACGUUAGGGAGAGGCCUGGCUCCUGCAAUGUACUAUUUACCUGUUGUAAAGAAUAGCCCUUCAAAAGUAUUAUUCUAAGUCUGUUUGACAUAAUAGGUCCAAAUUGUAUUACAACAUGGUAAAAAAACAACAAUCCAUUAACAAUCCUCUUUGGAUUUCUAAAAAAGUUUUGGUAGCCUAAACUCUUUCCCCAAUUUUUGAUAUCACUUCAUGUCAUUUUAGAGAGUAAGUUUUCCUGUUUUAUUAAUGUUUAUAUUUAAGCUGAAUUUUCUAAAAGAA